rnacentral:rRNA from 1 species
UACGUAGGGGGCAAGCGUUGUCCGGAUUUAUUGGGCGUAAAGAGCGUGUAGGCGGCUUUACAGGUCCGUUGUGAAAACUCGAGGCUCAACCUCGAGACGCCGGUGGAAACCGUAAGGCUAGAGUCCGGAAGAGGAGAGUGGAAUUCCUGGUGUAGCGGUGAAAUGCGCAGAUAUCAGGAGGAAUACCGAUGGCGAAGGCAGGUCUCUGGGCUAUAACUGACGCUCAUGCACGAAAGCGUGGGGAGCAAACAGG